rnacentral:rRNA from 1 species
AUUGAACGCUGGCGGCAGGCCUAACACAUGCAAGUCGAGCGGAUGAUGGGAGCUUGCUCCUGGAUUCAGCGGCGGACGGGUGAGUAAUGCCUAGGAAUCUGCCUGGUAGUGGGGGACAACGUGACGAAAGGAACGCUAAUACCGCAUACGUCCUACGGGAGAAAGCAGGGGACCUUCGGGCCUUGCGCGACCAGAGGAGCCUAGGUCGGAUUAGCUUGUUGGUGAGGUACUGGCUCACCAAGGCGACGAUCCGUAACUGGUCUGAGAGGAUGAUCAGUCACACUGGAACUGAGACACGGUCCAGACUCCUACGGGAGGCAGCAGUGGGGAAUAUUGGACAAUGGGCGAAAGCCUGAUCCAGCCAUGCCGCGUGUGUGAAGAAGGUCUUCGGAUUGUAAAGCACUUUAAGUUGGGAGGAAGGGUUGUAGAUUAAUACUCUGCAAUUUUGACGUUACCGACAGAAUAAGCACCGGCUAACUCUGUGCCAGCCGCCGCGGUAAUAC